UGCUUGGCGCCCAUUUUGUUUUGGGGCACAGUUCUCUGUACAGCUAUGGAAGGUCCCACUUUCCGUCGCUGCGUUAAGUUCUGGCAAAGCUCUCGGAGGUCGCCUGAGAUCGAGGCCAGACUCGGCUCGGGAGCCGGGCUGGCGAGGCUGGGUCUUCCGAGUUCCUCCGAGGCUCGGCCGAGCGUCCGGCGUUUCUCUAGUUUGGGCUUUCACAGCCAAGGGCUAAAUGAUGGGAGAGGGAAAAAGUUAAAGCUCCUCUGCCCCUCCCCUUCUCCCCCAUCUCCACGGUUUCUUAGAUUUGAAUUAUGUUGGAAUCAAUAUCAAUGUGGUCUAACAAUCUUGUUAAGAUGAGGAAACUGAGGCAGAAGUUAAAUAACAACUAUGGUCACACAGCUAUGAAUGUCUGAGGCUACACUUAAACUCAUCUCCCUAUAUCUACUACCUUAUCUACUACCUGGCUGCGUCUGUAUGGAGAGAAAGUGGAAUCAAAAAAGACACCUAGAUUGUGAGCCUAGGUGACUUGGAUGGCAUCUUCAACAGCAAUAGCAUAUGGCCAAUUUCAUGAAAAGAGGAGUUUGCCUUUAUUGUUUUAUGGGGAAGCUAAAUUAUGGGGAUGGCACUCUGGGAAGAAGGCAUACAUUGGAAAAUAUGGAAAAACCAAGGCCUUAAGAAGUUGUGAGUUACUUGGGCCAGUAGUAAAGAAGAGAUGGUAUUAAAAGAAAGUUGUGCUCUUCAGUAAGGGUCUGUUCCAGACCAUGCAAGAAAUUAAAGGCAGUGGAGGAGACUACCCAAAUGAACUCCUGCAUUCCUGUCCAUGACCUGAAGUAAGCCUAAGGGACUUUCCACAAACAAAUUGAAAAAAAAGAGGAAGAAGAAGCAGAAGGAGGAGGAGGAGAAGGAGGAGAAGAAGAAAGAAGAAUGCUUCACUUGAGAUGAAGAACACUAACAUUUGUUGACCUUCAUGAAUCCUGUUCCAAACAGUUCAUUUUUAAAUUGACUUGGAGAUGAUUUUCCCAUAGAGACAAUAACAUGAAUGAUAGAUUUCCAAGCCCUGUGAUAUAGGAUUAAGGCUUUUAUCCAUCCUGUUUGCCCUCCUCCAAAUACUGUGCAGUUUAUCCACCAAAUACUUGUCUGGGAACAUUAGUACCAGUAUUAAUUUGAGUUCUAGGGUCUUGGAAGCAAGAGACUGUUUGCUGUAAUAUGGAAGGUAAAAAAAGAGAAAUAGAGUUCCCUCCUUUUUUCCUGGGCACAAGGCCAACAUUAGGUAAAACAUUUUUAAAUUGAUAAAGGUUGUCUUUGGCAACCUCCCACCUGCCUUUCUAGGUCCUCUCUUGCUUACUUAAGCCCCUCUCCCCAGGCCUCCAAAUUCCCAGCAUCUUGACUACAAAUUAAAACUAUAACAUAGCCUGCCUUCUGCUCACUACACCCUUAUAUGGUCAUUGGAUUUUCAUAAACCAGUGCUAGCAUGUCUAAAGCAAACAAUUCCAAUCUAAAAAUCAAGUACUUUUUUUUCCUCUUCACUUUAUUCAUUUGCUUAAUCCAAUUGUUUUGUUGUACAUUUACAUAUUUGGAAGGGGUUUGAGUAGAUAGAAUACAUGUUAUAAUUUUUCAUUUAAAAAUAUGUAAUCCUGCCUAUUCUGGCAUGUUCCUUCCUUAACUUGGUCUAGUUUGUUAUAUGGUCAGAUAUUACAUCAAAAGAGGUGCCAUAUUCUCAGUGAGACUCAUUUCAAAAGAUACUAAUGCAACUUCAAUUUUCCUUAAUUCAAAGAUUGUAUCCAAUUUUGCAUUUGCUUGGCAAGUUUUUGUCAUAUCUACAACAGAUGACAUACUAAAACUGACAUUGCUUUCAUUCAUAUUGCAUAGCUUUUAUGUGAUCAGUGAACAUCUAACAUCAAAUAUAAUCAAAAGUUUCAAAUAUAAACAUAUACAAAUUAUUGCAUAUGUUUAUAGAAUAGGAUCAAUGUUGAGGUUUAGGAUUACUGUAUAUUCCCAAAUAAGGCUAUCUGAAUUAUAAAGAUAACUAGCAUAAAGCCCAGAAUUACAGAAUUUGAGACGUGAUAGAGACAUCAGCAGCCAUCUAGUCAAAUGCAUACACAGAAGCCUCAUUACAUAGCAUAGUAUAACAUAACACAAUAUAACACAUACAUGUUAACAUAUAUUUAAAUUAUUUAAUAUAUUAAUAUUGAUAUCAG
ensembl:lncRNA